rnacentral:rRNA from 1 species
GUGAGGAAUAUUGGUCAAUGGACGGAAGUCUGAACCAGCCAAGUAGCGUGCAGGAUGACGGCCCUAUGGGUUGUAAACUGCUUUUAUGCGGGGGUAAAGUGAGUGACGUGUCAUUCAUUGCAAGUACCGCAAGUAUAAGGACCGGCUAAUUCCGUGCCAGCAGCCGCGGUAAUACGGAAGGUCCUGGUGUUAUCCGGAUUUAUUUGGUUUAAAGGGAGCGUAGGCCGUCAGGCAAGCGUGUUGUGAAAUGUCGUGGCUCAACCAUGGACUUGCAGCGCGAACGGCCCGACUUGAGUGCGCGGAAAGCAGGCGGAAUUUGUGGUGUAGCGGUGAAAUGCUUAGAUAUCACGAAGAACCCCGAUUGCGAAGGCAGCCUGCUGUAGCGCUACUGACGCUGAAGCUCGAAAGUGCGGGUAUCGAACAGGAUUAGAUACCCCAGUAGUCC